rnacentral:rRNA from 1 species
UAGGGAUAAGGGGUGCCACCAUCAGGUGGCCGCAGAGAAUAGGCCCAAGCGACUGUUUACCAAAAACAUAGGUUUCUGCUAAGUCGCAAGACGAUGUAUAGGAGCUGACGCCUGCCCGGUGCUGGAAGGUUAAGGGGAUCUGUUAGAGCAAUCGAAGCAGUGAACUUAAGCCCCAGUAAACGGCGGCCGUAACUAUAACGGUCCUAAGGUAGCGAAAUUCCUUGUCGGGUAAGUUCCGACCCGCACGAAAGGCGUAACGAUUUGGGCACUGUCUCAACAACAGACUCGGUGAAAUUGUAAUUCCGGUGAAGAUGCCGGAUACCUGCGACAGGACGGAAAGACCCCAUGGAGCUUUACUGUAGCUUGACAUUGGGUCUUGGUACUACAUGUACAGGAUAGGUGGGAGGCUUUGAAACCAGGACGCCAGUUUUGGCGGAGCCAUCCUUGGGAUACCACCCUUGUAGUACUGGGACUCUAACCAUAGGCCAUGAAUCUGGUCUUGGGACACUGUCAGGUGGGCAGUUUGACUGGGGCGGUCGCCUCCCAAAAGGUAACGGAGGCGCUCAAAGGUUCUCUCAGUACGGUCGGAAAUCGUACGUAGAGUGUAAAGGCAAAAGAGAGCUUGAUUGCAAGACAUACAGGUCGAGCAAGGAUGAAAAUCGGACUUAGUGAUCCGGUGGUUCUGCGUGGAAGGGCCAUCGCUCAACGGAUAAAAGCUACCCUGGGGAUAACAGGCUUAUCUCCCCCAAGAGUCCACAUCGACGGGGAGGUUUGGCACCUCGAUGUCGGCUCAUCACAUCCUGGGGCUGUAGUAGGUCCCAAGGGUUGGGCUGUUCGCCCAUUAAAGUGGUACGCGAGCUGGGUUCAGAACGUCGUGAGACAGUUCGGUCCCUAUCCGUCGCAGGCGUAGGAAAUUUGAGAAGACCUGUCCUUAGUACGAGAGGACCGGGAUGGACG